rnacentral:rRNA from 1 species
CAGCAGCCGCGGUAAUACGUAGGGUGCAAGCGUUAUCCGGAAUUAUUGGGCGUAAAGGGCUCGUAGGCGGUUCGUCGCGUCCGGUGUGAAAGUCCAUCGCUUAACGGUGGAUCUGCGCCGGGUACGGGCGGGCUGGAGUGCGGUAGGGGAGACUGGAAUUCCCGGUGUAACGGUGGAAUGUGUAGAUAUCGGGAAGAACACCAAUGGCGAAGGCAGGUCUCUGGGCCGUUACUGACGCUGAGGAGCGAAAGCGUGGGGAGCGAACAGGAUUAGAUACCCUGGUAGUCCACGCCGUAAACGGUGGAUGCUGGAUGUGGGGCCCGUUCCACGGGUUCCGUGUCGGAGCUAACGCGUUAAGCAUCCCGCCUGGGGAGUACGGCCGCAAGGCUAAAACUCAAAGAAAUUGACGGGGGCCCGCACAAGCGGCGGAGCAUGCGGAUUAAUUCGAUGCAACGCGAAGAACCUUACCUGGGCUUGACAUGUUCCCGACAGCCGUAGAGAUAUGGCCUCCCUUCGGGGCGGGUUCACAGGUGGUGCAUGGUCGUCGUCAGCUCGUGUCGUGAGAUGUUGGGUUAAGUCCCGCAACGAGCGCAACCCUCGCCCUGUGUUGCCAGCACGUCGUGGUGGGAACUCACGGGGGACCGCCGGGGUCAACUCGGAGGAAGGUGGGGAUGACGUCAGAUCAUCAUGCCCCUUACGUCCAGGGCUUCACGCAUGCUACAAUGGCCGGUACAACGGGAUGCGACACGGCGACGUGGAGCGGAUCCCUGAAAACCGGUCUCAGUUCGGAU